AGUGAACGCUGGCGGUAGGCCUAACACAUGCAAGUCGAACGGCAGCACAGUAAGAGCUUGCUCUUACGGGUGGCGAGUGGCGGACGGGUGAGGAAUACAUCGGAAUCUACUUUUUCGUGGGGGAUAACGUAGGGAAACUUACGCUAAUACCGCAUACGACCUACGGGUGAAAGCAGGGGAUCUUCGGACCUUGCGCGAUUGAAUGAGCCGAUGUCGGAUUAGCUAGUUGGCGGGGUAAAGGCCCACCAAGGCGACGAUCCGUAGCUGGUCUGAGAGGAUGUUCAGCCACACUGGAACUGGGACACGGUCCAGAGUCCUACGGGAGGCAGCAGUGGGGAAUAUUGGACAAUGGGCGCAAGCCUGAUCCAGCCAUACCGCGUGGGUGAAGAAGGCCUUCGGGUUGUAAAGCCCUUUUGUUGGGAAAGAAAAGCAGCAGGUUAAUACCCCGCUGUUCUGACGGUACCCAAAGAAUAAGCACCGGCUAACUUCGUG
rnacentral:rRNA from 1 species